rnacentral:rRNA from 1 species
UACGAAGGGGGGCUAGCGUUGCUCGGAAUCACUGGGCGUAAAGGGUGCGUAGGCGGGUCUUUAAGUCGGGGGUGAAAUCCUGGAGCUCAACUCCAGAACUGCCUUCGAUACUGGCGAUCUCGAGUUCGGGAGAGGUGAGUGGAACUGCGAGUGUAGAGGUGAAAUUCGUAGAUAUUCGCAAGAACACCAGUGGCGAAGGCGGCUCACUGGCCCGAUACUGACGCUGAGGUGCGAAAGCGUGGGGAGCAAACAGG